rnacentral:rRNA from 1 species
GACGAACGCUGGCGGCGUGCUUAACACAUGCAAGUCGAACGGUGAAGCUCCAGCUUGCUGGAGUGGAUCAGUGGCGAACGGGUGAGUAACACGUGAGCAACCUGCCCCUGACUCUGGAAUAAGCGCUGGAAACGGCGUCUAAUACUGGAUAUGAGAAGGGUCCGCAUGGACACUUUCUGGAAAGUUUUUCGGUUGGGGAUGGGCUCGCGGCCUAUCAGCUUGUUGGUGAGGUAAUGGCUCACCAAGGCGACGACGGGUAGCCGGCCUGAGAGGGCGACCGGCCACACUGGGACUGAGACACGGCCCAGACUCCUACGGGAAGCAGCAGUGGGGAAUAUUGCACAAUGGGCGAAAGCCUGAUGCAGCGACGCCGCGUGAGGGAUGACGGCCUUCGGGUUGUAAACCUCUUUCAGCAGGGAAGAAGCGAAAGUGACGGUACCUGCAGAAGAAGCACCGGCUAACUACGUG